GCGGUGGAGCAUGUGGUUUAAUUCGAUGCAACGCGAAGAACCUUACCUACUCUUGACAUCCAGAGAAUUCGCUAGAGAUAGCUUAGUGCCUUCGGGAACUCUGAGACAGGUGCUGCAUGGCUGUCGUCAGCUCGUGUUGUGAAAUGUUGGGUUAAGUCCCGCAACGAGCGCAACCCUUAUCCUUUGUUGCCAGCGCGUAAUGGUGGGAACUCAAAGGAGACUGCCGGUGAUAAACCGGAGGAAGGUGGGGAUGACGUCAAGUCAUCAUGGCCCUUACGAGUAGGGCUACACACGUGCUACAAUGGCGUAUACAAAGAGAAGCGAACUCGCGAGAGCAAGCGGACCUCAUAAAGUACGUCGUAGUCCGGAUCGGAGUCUGCAACUCGACUCCGUGAAGUCGGAAUCGCUAGUAAUCGUAGAUCAGAAUGCUACGGUGAAUACGUUCCCGGGCCUUGUACACACCGCCCGUCACACCAUGGGAGUGGGUUGCAAAAGAAGUAGGUAGCUUA
rnacentral:rRNA from 1 species